GGCAAGGGUUAGGACCCAGGGCACUGAGAGCCCAGGGCCAGGAGGUGAGCUCCGAGCUUGGUGCUUGGAGGAAGCCCCGUCUGGCCCUAUGGCCUUCCUGGUGGCUGGGACCCUGCGGCUGGCCAUGCAGAUGGCAGACACUCGAGACAGCCUGGGGAGAAAGGUAGCAGGAGGCACCGCCUAGCCCAGCUGCUCCUGCUGAGCCCCAGCCCAGCCCAGCCCAGCUCUGGCCUUGCUUCCCCAGGGGAAGUAUGACGUCCAGGGUCCAAGGGCAGCCCUGAUGCUCAGCAGCCCUGGGGUGGCGGCCGCUGUAGUCACUGCCCUGGAGGACGUGUUCCAGGCCCUGGGCUUUGAGAGCUGCGCGAGGAGGGAGGUCCCGGUCCAGGGCUUCCUCGAGGAACUGGCUUGGUUCCAGGAGCAGCUGGAUGCCCACGGGCGCCCUGUGGGGUGUGCCUUAGUGGCCUUGGUGGCCCCCAGAGGGCAGCUGAGGCAGCCACAGCAGCUGGUCCGGGAGCUGAGCGGCUGCCGGGCCCUGCGGGGCUGCCCCAAAGUCUUCCUGCUGCUCUCAAGUGGCCCUGGGU
rnacentral:lncRNA from 1 species